CUAUAUACCGCCGUCGCAAGCUUACCCUGUGAAGGGUCUGUAGUAAGCAAAAUGGGCAAGCCCCAGAACGUCAGGUCGAGGUGUAGCUUACGAGAUGGAAAGAAAUGGGCUACAUU
rnacentral:rRNA from 1 species